AAUUUGUGGAUUUUGCCCCAAAGAAAUGGCAGGACAUCGUGAGGGAGGUGAAGGUGCUGCAGAGGCUCAGACACCCCAACACUGUGGGGUUCAGGGGGUGCUACCUGAGGGAGAACACGGCCUGGCUGGCCAUGGAAUUCUGUGUGGGAUCAGCCCUGGACCUGCUGGAAGUUCACCAGGAGCCGCUGAGGGAGGAGGAGAUCGGGGCCAUCACUGAGGGGGCCCUGCAGGGCCUGGGCUACCUGCACAGCCAAGGGGUGAUCCACAGGUGGGGCUGCCCCAU